ACAUACACACACACACACACACACACACACACACAAAAGCACAACGUGUGCGCAUGUGCACAGGGUUACAUAUGCAAUCUCUCUUUUAUGCACUCUUCCUCACAGUUGCAAAGGAAUUCACUAGUGGAAGCCAGGGUGCCUAUAGCAGAGAGACCAUCACUUUGCAUUCUACAUCACCACUCCUGCUAAUGUCAGAGACGAGACAGACUGGAAGGCCGGGGAAGGAGGUCACGGUCAGCCACUUGCUGUCUGUGGCUCCCAGCGGGGCAGAGGGUAGCCAAGCUAAUGAAGCCACCAGUCUGUGUACAUAUGAUCAAGCAUGGGACAAGCAGUGACAGUUACCAAAUAGAGAGCUGCCACCAGAAACACCACAUUAGCAAUGUAGUAAGCAGACCUAGCAAGGAAAAGCAGCGGCUCCGUGGAAUUGAACUGCUAAGGGUCUUUCGGUACCUAUGGUAAUGGGCUACUGGGCCUGCCUAUUUCUCCACUGUGGGAAUAUGGAGUCCCCACUAAGGCCCUGUGCGAGGAAACCUCUAAUUUUAAUAUAUCUCAUUGUCUAUUAGAGGGGUCUCUUGAGCAGUAAAUGUGUAGACAGUGUUAAUCCUGUAAGGAAAAGGGGGCUCCUUUUCCUUACAUGUGUGAUCUGUAUUUAUUCAGUGGGUUAUUUCUCUGUCAGGGAUUUCUGGAGCCGGUUGUAAUCCCUAGCCAGACACAAGUCAUUGUCCCUCUGUAUAAGGGAACAGUCACAUUUCCACCUAAUUUCUUCUUUAUUAUUCCUAAAUAAUUUUUAAAUAGCCCAUACACAUAAAUGAUAAACUAGACAAGAAUAUUUUUCUUCCUUCUCAAAUUUCCUUAUCCCUUCCCCAGAGAUAAUCACUGUUCCCAGUGAUUGGUGUAUCAUUACAGAGACAUUCUCUAUAUAUGCACACAGACGGGUGGGAAAGCUGGGAGAGACUUGAAUGUAAUCUUCAGGGAUUUGUUUUAUUGUUUAUUGUGUCUUAGGACUGAGUAGAGUGCCUGUAUACAUUGGGUAUAUGAUAACUACAUGUCUGUAUAAAUCAAAUAGAUUGCUGAUAUGGAAACAUUUGACGAAUCAAGUCCCAGAGAGGAUCACCUGUGAGCAGCAGCUCUGUUCCCUCAACCAAGGAAGGAGAAUAUAGUAUCUGUUAUUAUUGCAUUUUAGGCUAGCCACGUGGCCUGAAGGAGAUCACUCCAGAGCAGUGCUAGCGAUUGCCAUUCAUUGACUCUGCUCAGGGGAGAGGUCUCAGUGGGGGAGAGCCUUACUGCUGGCUCCACUACACCUGUUCCCACCAGCAGCUGCAACACACUGUUGUGCUUCUUGUCCUGUUCUUUGCCUCCUCCUAUCAGAAGAAGCCGAGCUCCUGAUAGUGGGAGCAUUCGUGUUACUUCUGCAUGUCCAGGACCUUAGCUACUUGAGAAGAAGACGAAUGGUGCUUCCAAUGAGGGAAGGAGGAGUGGAAUAGAAGGGAGAUGUUGGUUCUCAUCUGUGGGGGUGGGGCUAUACAAAAUCAACAGCGAGCAAGUGGCUGCCAGUGGGUCAGACCUUCUUCCCUGGCCUUCUAGUCGGUCUGUCUCUGACACUAGCAAUAAUGAUGGCGUGUAGUGCAGAGGGAUGACGUCUCUGCUACAGAAGCCAUUGCCACCCCUAGUGAAUUCCUUUGAAAUUGUGAGGAAGUGAGUUCAAGGGAAAUUAUCUUCACUUUUAGGGUUUGCACACAUCUCUCUCUCUCUCUCUCUCUCUCUCUCUCUCUGUGUGUGUGUGUGUGUGUGUGUGUGUGUAAGAGAGAGAGAGACAGAGAGAGACACACAGAGAGAGACACACAGAGAGACAGAGAGAGACAGAGAGACAGAGUCAGAGAGAGACAGAGAGAGACACACAGAGAGACAGAGAGAGACAGAGAGAGAUUAGAAUCUUUAUUUUAGUUCCUACUUUACAGUGAGCUAAUCUUAUGGUUUACCAAUACAUACAACAAGUAUAUACUGAGCUGAGCUCGGUGCCUCACACCUUUAACCCCAGUGCUGGCCAGGCAGAAGCAGACACAUAUUUGUGAGUUCAAGGUCAGCCUGUUCUACAGAACAAGACUUGGCCAUCCAAGCCUAGAUACUGAAACCCUGUCUCAAACAAAACAAAACAAUUGUAUACUCUGACUCCACCGUCUGCUGGGCACCGGCGAAAAAGGCAGAGGUCUGGAGAAUGUCUAGCAACAAGCCCCGUAGUCUCUUUGGUUCCAGGUGGUCUUCUCGCUGCACAGGGUGAGGAUGUGCUGUGUAGUUUUUUCCUGUGCCUUUAAGCUCUCCCUCCUGGAGAAAGGAAGGAGGUUCACGUGACUCUAGAGCGGAGAUUAUUAUUUAUAUCCAAAGAGAUCUGUCAUGUAGCUUUCCUCCUUACAUCUAGACGAAACGAGGCUUAAGGAGUUUAAAGCUGAAUCCGUCAGAGAUGCUAUGAAAACACAGAUACCGACUCAGUGGGCCCUGGGUUGGGGCUGGUGGUUCCAUGUGGCUGAUCAGCUCCAGGAGAUGCCGUGUUGCUGGUCACCAGAACACACUUUUGAAUAGCAAGAGACGGUAGUCCCUAGGGUCCCUUGCAAACCAUGCUCAGCAGAUAGCAGUUGUAACUGGAAAUUUCCCAGCUCCUUUCCUCCUCACCCCCCAAGAGUUCGCCCCAAAACCCACCCUGUGGGUGCAUCUUUUUCUAGUCUCAGUUCCUCCUCCCUGGGGAGGGGACUCCGCCAGGAUCCACCAGCAGGUCACUUGACUUCAGCAGCCUGCUGAAGAGCAGAGUGGGCCGGCAGUAGCUGUGUUCUCCAGAGCAAGGACAAGAGCCAGUUUAUAGCCAGAAAACAAAGCCCUGCAAUGGCCUUCUGGGACCCACUCAUCAGGAUAUUGGAUUUUUUUGGUUUUGUGAUUGUUUUUCUAUAAAUACCCCCAAGUAUUGAGUGCUGCUUGAAUUUGAUCCCACCGUGCACUUUUUCUCCUGGUUCCUGCGGCUUUCAUUAAAGAAACGCACCAAACCUUACCUCCGUGUGUCCCUUCUCUGAUAAGCAGGCGAUACUGCUUUUCAUGAAAAGAGAAAGUUCUGGAUCAGGGGCAGAGCACACAGUAGGGGCAUAAUUUUUACUUGUUCGUUAAACGGAUGUGUGACUAAAUGAAAGUAAGAGGCAAGAGUGUCACCUUUAAAGGAAACGAUUGGGAUAGAUAAGGCGUGUGACUGACUUUGCUUUGGAUAAUAGUUGUUUCGCGUUCCAGUGUACAAGCCGUCUCACGGGUGGGUGUGGACAGAGCAUUUAAGCUGGCUUGCGGGGCCAGGUACUUAUUAGUGGGACUCGAGGCUACCUCACUGCCUCCCCAGUUACAAUACCCUGGCCCUCCCUGCUCAUUCAGUUCCUCCUCUAAUCUUUUAAACCUCAGUGAGUUUAUAAGUUUGCCUCCUCCUGGGAGUCUUCCCACACUGUCAGAUCCCACUCAUGCCUGCUGGUCCUUAGCCCCAUAUUUUCCCCCAGGCAUUCUUUACACGUAUGUCCUCAUCUAUUUUUAUUGUUUGUAUUCUGAGGAAAGUUCGGGUGAGGCCCUGUCUAGUCCAGAAGCCGCAGCCGCACACCCUGCACCAGUCUUUUAAAGGCUGAGUAGGUAAAAUAAUGGGGAAGAGAGAAAGGAAUUCGCCUUAGCUUUUCAGGGUAGUUAUGUUCCCUGAAACCUUAAGAAAAAAGAGGAAAUGUUAAAACUUAGUGUUGAAGCCAGGUGCAAUGACUAAUCAAUCAAUCACUGCUGCUGAAGAUCAUAAGUUCAAGGCCAGCCUGGGCUGGCCCGGGAAAUGCAGUC
rnacentral:lncRNA from 1 species